CCUACGGGAGGCAGCAGUGGGGAAUCUUGCGCAAUGGGCGAAAGCCUGACGCAGCAACGCCGCGUGCGGGAAGAAGGCUCUCGGGUUGUAAACCGCUUUCAGCAGGAACGAAAAUGACGGUACUUGCAGAAGAAGGUGCGGCCAACUACGUGCCAGCGGCCGCGGUGACACGUAGGCACCAAGCGUUGUCCGGAUUUAUUGGGCGUAAAGAGCUCGUAGGCGGUUCGGUAAGUCAGGUGUGAAAACUUUGGGCUCAACCCAAAGCCUGCAUCUGAUACUGCUGUGACUAGAGUUCGGUAGGGGAGCGGGGAAGUUCCUAGUGUAGCGGUGAAAUGCGCAGAUAUUAGGAGGAACACCGGUGGCGAAGGCGCCGCUCUGGGCCGAAACUGACGCUGAGGAGCGAAGGCGUGGGUAGCAAACAGGAUUAGAUACCCUGGUAGUCCACGCCGUAAACGUUGGGCACUAGGUGUGGGUUUACAACCAACGAAAUCCGCGCCGUCGCUAACGCAUUAAGUGCCCCGCCUGGGGAGUACGGCCGCAAGGUUAAAACUCAAAGGAAUUGACGGCUGNGAGNGCGACGACGACACGAGGAGAG
rnacentral:rRNA from 1 species